ensembl:lncRNA
CUUUCCCUUUGCUUUAUUUAUCAUGCUGCAAGUCCUGACUUAGCAGAAUAUACAUGCUCUAAUUCGAGUUGCCCAUAUGUGCUAUUGGCAACAUGUGCGAGCUUUAUUGUGUUACUCGCAUGCUUUUCUGCAGAUCUGAAAUAACACCGAUCUUUUUUCUCCCUCCAGAUGAAAAAGCCCUGAGCCUACACUCGGCCUUGCCAGUCGCUGUUUCCUGUCACUUGCGAUGGCCUCUUCCCAGAACGGUUAUUUCUGGUGAUGUCAGUGAAGUUACCUGUGUGCAGCUCUGGAGUAAUACCUUGCAGGCGGCUGUGGAGCUCUCUGGUGAGUAAUGAGCACACUGCAGACAUAAUUAGAUUCAAAUUGUCCUUGUGAAUAUUCACUGUUAAAAGAUCAGUUAUCAGUUAUCAGUCUCCAUGCUGUUUGGUACUCAGAAAUGCAAAGCUGGCUUAGUAGUAGGUGUUCAUUGCAUGACGGAUGCGGGCACGAGGAGAGGAGGAUCUCUAGCUUCAUUUGUACUGCAAAUGAAAACAAUCAUGAAGAUACAAACCACCAAGGUGCAAAAUGAGGUUUCCAAUUCAUAAGCACAAGCCACCAGGAGUUAAAACCUCUUGGUUUCUUCCCAUAGUGCCCCAGGCAGUAGUUUUCAUAUAUAUUUCUCCAUGGUCAGAAGUCAGAGCAGACCACUGCUAUGUAAGACCUUGACUUUUUUUCCCUGACAGUUACAAUUAUUACAGCCCGGGGGACUCAUUUUCUCAGUCUGGCCACCCGCUGACCUAGCCUGCAACCAGAAUACACUUUAAAACAAACAAACAACAGCUCUGCUCCCCACUCUUUGCUUCUCCUCCCCCAGCUCUGGAAUAUUUUUACACCGCGCCCCUUGCAAAAGGAUAUUAGCCACUAUUGCUGAAGGCACAAUCACAUUAUCAGCACCAUUCUCUCUCUCCUUCUCCCUCUCCUCCCCCCAAAGAUAAAUUUUUUAUGUUGCUAUUUUCUUCUCUUUUGUAUUUGGCAUUCGAUAUUUACUUGAUAAACUGCAGAGCUGCUACUAAAUGGGCCCUGAUACAACUUAAUAAAUACAUAACAGCAUCCA